UUGUAAAGAAGUCAAAAAGAGACAAAUUAUUGUUAAUAAUUAAAUUGAAAAAAAAAUUCCUUUACAAG
rnacentral:tRNA from 1 species